ACAGUUCAAAAGCAUCAGUUCUUUGGUGCUCAGCUUUCUUCACAGUCCAGGACACCUACAUUGCCAUUAAUUUUAAUUUGUGAGAUUGAAAAAGAGCAGGCUGUAUAAAUUGCUUGCCAGAGACCAAUGGCUGUGCUCACUCACCUGUGUCUAAGGUCCUUGACAAUUAAACACCUUGUGUCUCAUUGCUGGAUAAACGCCUCAGAUGACUCCAGAUGAAAAGAUGGCCAAGGGUUUGUUUCUUGUGGAAUCUUCAACAUUUUUUUUAUUAUGAAAAAAAUUCUAAAUAAGNNNNNNNNNNNNNNNNNNNNNNNNNNNNNNNNNNNNNNNNNNNNNNNNNNNNNNNNNNNNNNNNNNNNNNNNNNNNNNNNNNNNNNNNNNNNNNNNNNNAAAAAAUUCUAAAUAAGUGCAAAAGUAGAGAGCAUGGUACCCAUGUACCCACUACCCAUUUCAAGAAUUAUCAGUGUUUUACUUUUUCUUUUAUUUCCCUUUAUUCCUCUUCCUCUGAAGUUUUUUUUUCUUUUUUUUUUAAGCUGGAGUAUUUUAAAGCAAACCCAAAGGCUCCUUUCACCACCAACAUGUCUAUAAUUGGAAUGAAAAGGCUCUUGUGUGGCCCCGUGUUUCUCUUUCUUUAGAACUGCUAGGACAGGAAGCUGCACUAGAAAAAGUCAGCCUGGGGGUGCAAGGGCUUCUGGGAGGCCCUGGAGAGGAGGGGCACAUUCCUUGCAGGCUGUGCAAUUUGUUUUGCUCUCAAGCCAGGGCCCUUCUUGGCUGAAACACCUCCCGCCUCAGAAUCGAAACUUUUCUCAAAUGCUCAAAAUAAACUAUCUGGCUUCCUCUAGCUAGAGACAUCUGGGGAGUGUGGCUUCUGAAACUAUUUUUGGCGUGCAAAUGUCACCCAAGUUGCUUGAAGUGCUUUGGAAGUUUUAAGGUAUUGAAAGCAUCUGAUGCGCGGUGGCUGAGGCCCAGUGGGGAGAGGUUAAUUAUUACACAGGCCAGGCAUCUUUCCCAGCAGGGUUCUUGCUUCUCAUGCGCUUCCUGUUUACAGCUCUCAGUGCUUCGGGCCAAGGAUCAGUGCCCGGGGUUGGUGUGUGAAAGGUGGCAUCAUGGGUGUGGGGGUGGGGGCUGCUGGGGUGAUCAGGGGGAAACCCACUGGCUGUGGGCCUUUCUUCAGCCUGUGUCCAGCCUGGCUCCCUGGAAGCCCAGCAGGCCUGGAGGUCAGUGGAGGGUUCCUGGAGAUCAGUGGAGGGUUCCUGGAGAGUGCUGGGACUGUGUGUCGGCUGGCGGGCUUUGCCAGAUGGGCUUUCCUAGUGGCUCAGUUGCUAAAGAAUCUGCCUGCAAUGCUGGAGACUGGGGUUCGAUCCCUGGGUUUGGAAGAUCCCCUAGAGAAGGGAAUGGUAAUCCACUCCAAUAUUCUUGCCUGAAGAAUUGCAUGGACAGAGGAGCCAGGCGAGCUGCAGCCCAUCAGGUCGCAAAGAGUUGGACACGACUAAGCGACUUAACACACACAGAUAAGAGACAAAAGUUCCCAAAUUUGUAAGGCCCAAAGGUGUUACCAAACCAAACUUGAGUCCCCUCGCCAGGGAGCAGUAGAUCCAAUCUAUCGACAGAAGAAUAUGAUGAAGGAAAACGCAGCAUUUAUUGUAAAGGAAGAUGGGUGGCUCGUGCUCUAAAACCCUGAACACCCCCGAAGGGUUUCAGCAAACCUUUUUUAAAGGCGAAGUGUGGGAGGGGCAUCCCAGGGUGUGGGGUGCGCUCAUGCACAAUUCUCUGAUUGGUUGAAGGUGCUCAAUCUAGUGCUCAAGGCACUAGAGGGUCUGUGAGCUAUGUACUCAUGAUCAUCAAGUAGUCAAAUUUUCCCCAUUUGAUUGUGGUUUUAGUAUCUGAAAAACUCAGGAAAUAGGCAUCACAUACUAUUAUCUAGGUACUUCAGAGAGGAGCUAAUGCAGAGGAUAUUGGCGAGAGAUCUGUCUUGGGAAGGCACCAUAGGGUUUUGCUCGGUUACGAGGGUACCAGGGAUCAGGCAGAACCCAACUGAGACGCUUCCCAGGAUGAGCGAGUAGAGAAUUGUAGCUAUGGAAUAAGCAGAGGGGUCCAGAAAGCGGGAUGCUGGAAGUAACCCAGGCUGGUGGCAGGAGUGGAGAAUAUCGGGGACAGGUUGAGGAGAGGAGAAUAAAGUCAAGGCCAGUGGUUCAGACUGCAGACUAUGGAGGUGAAGCUGGGGUGCCUGGGUUUGUUGAAUGAUGGAGUGCCACCAACCACCUACCCUGGGCUCAGGAAAGAGAGAAUAGAUGGAGAUGGAAAGGAACCCAUGGGGAGGUGGUCGACUCAUAACUCUGAGUUGCUUUGGCUCACAACACUUCGGACACAAAAUGUGUGAGUUUUUUCAACACCAACAACCAGUUCUCCAAGUCUGCAGACGCCAGCUGGGUGCCCCACAGUUCAAUUCAGCUCUGACACUGAGCGCAUAGAGGUACAGUCAGACUCCACAGGCUUAGAGGCUUCAUCCCCCAAGGCUGCCUGCACGUCAGACGCCAGCCCCAGGUCGUCACCUGACUUCUGACCAACUGGCUAUAUAAAUCAGGGGUUCCCAUGACUCCUUUCUCAGUGGAUAAUUUGCAGGAAUGGCUCACAAAACUCAGGGAAAUGUUUUACUUACAGUUUCUGGUUUAUUGUAAAGAAUACAAAUGAACCACCUAGAUGAAGAGGUCCCCAGGGUGGGGGUAGGGGCUUGGGGAGCUCUCAUGCCCUCUCACAUCAACCACCCUCCCAGCACCUCCAUUUGUCCACAAACCCAGAAGCCCCCCAAAAUCUUGUCAUUCAGCCAUUUUUAAUGGAGGUUUCAGCACUUAAGUGUGAUUCAUUAAAUCAUUGGCCAUUGGUGAAUAACUCAGUCUCUAGUCUCUCUCCCAGCCCCAGAGGGCAAUGGAGGUGGCUAGGGGUUGAAAGUUCCAACCCUCUAGUCCUACCUCGAUCUUUCUGGUGACCAGCUCCCAUCCUGAUGCUAUCUAAGGGCCUCCAGUCGCCAACCAUCUCAUCAGCAUACAAAAGACGCUCUUUUGUCUGAAGACCCGUCUGGAGACCCCACCCUGGAGAUCCCAAGGGUUUAGGCGCUAUAUAUUCCAAACCAAGAGCAAAGACCAGACAGAAAGUUUUUUGUUUUUGUUUUUUUAAUCACAAUAUUCUUUAGCAAGGCCCCUUCUCCCACCUUGUAGUUCAGUGGUUAAAGAGUCUGACUGCAAUGCAGGAGACUUGGGUUCGAUGCUUGGGUUGGGAAGAUCCCUUGGAGAAGGAAGUGGCAACCCACUCUGGUAUUCUUGACUGGAGAAUCCCAUGGACAGACCGAGCCUGGCGGGCUACAGUCUAUGGGGUGGCAAGAGUCGGACACGACUGAGCAACUAAGCNNNNNNNNNNNNNNNNNNNNNNNNNNNNNNNNNNNNNNNNNNNNNNNNNNNNNNNNNNNNNNNNNNNNNNNNNNNNNNNNNNNNNNNNNNNNNNNNNNNCUACAGUCUAUGGGGUGGCAAGAGUCGGACACGACUGAGCAACUAAGCACGUGCAUGAGCAGGGUUGUAGUGUCAUUUCUCCCACCUGAGUGGUACUUGAGGUUUACUUGGGGUUAAGUGGGAGGAGCUGAGACAGAGAACAAUGAAAGGUCCUAGGGACCUCCAUCCCCACUGCCCCACCCUUGACCUUCCCUGUCCACAGUCCUCCUAGGUGAGGGCCCAGUGGAAAAACUGGCUGAGCCUGGCUUCUGUAGAAGGCAGAGCAGAGAAAAGAGAGCAGAGCAAUCAAGGACAAUGAGGAUCCCUCUCUUCAGCAAGAUUGCUCCUGGAGGCAGGGGACCCUAACCCAGGAGACUGGACAAAGAAAAACUGUCCAUAUGCAGCACAGCACGGACCAACUCCUGCUCCCAAACUGGCUUGUCACCAAAUCAAGGAGCUCCCAACAUCUCCAGUCUAACGAUGCACUGCUUUUGAUGACUGCAAAACCCACUCCCCACCAACAGGGGGCGAUCACACCAUGUUUUAAUCAGGGCCAACCGGAAGGUGCUUCUCUGGCAAGAACACGGCA
rnacentral:lncRNA from 1 species